UUGGUAAUCAAACAUCAUCAGAGAUCCAUCUGACUGUAGAAGGUGAUCAACUGGUUGGUGCUCAAGUCAUCGUGAAGGUCCUGGGAAUCAUUCUGCUCGUCACUACUUUGCUCAUCUUUGAGUGCUGGUUGAAAUCAAGACGCUGCACCAAACCACAGGAGGACGCAGUUGGAGACGACUAUGUUAACAUGGUGGUGGAGUUACAUCCGUCAUGAGGCAGAAGAGGAGGCUAUGAAGCUGUAUCAUCUUCUCUGUAUUCAUUAGUCUUAGUGCGCUUCUUACAACAAUGUGUGUUGCUUUUCUCUUAAUACUUAAUGGUAUUCUGUAAAGAUGAAGGGUUAAUAAUGCUUAUAAGCUUCUUCUGUGUCUUUCUUAAAAUCAUCAAUAAAAACAUCCUCUUAUAUUUUAUCUCGUGUUUAUUGCAUGUAAAGUCUGUAAAAUGAAUAAAAAUGAUGUGUUCAUUGA